rnacentral:lncRNA from 1 species
GAAUUCCAGGUCUGUCUUGAAUCGAACCUGUCCGAUUUUGGUUUCCAAAUUUGAUUUGAUGCAAACUUGUUUGUAGUGUACCUCCAAGUUUGUCUCGAAUCAAAUCUGGUUGACCUUGGUUUCUCAUUACCAGAUUUCUGUUUUUGAACAUCAACAAACUUUGGAAUUUGACAUUUCCGUGCAACGUGUCCAAUUUGAUCACAUUUAAAACAAACUUUCUUUGACACAUCUUUUGGCUGUUGUUGUUUCUUUUUCAUGGCCUCAAACUCUGCAUUAGAUUGUGUUCCAAGUUUGAGUUUUUCUUCUUCAGUGAAACUUUUUCCUUGAACAAAAUUCAUUUUUGUCUGAAAAUUUGACCUUUCAGUUCUGUUUCGAUUAUGUUUCUUCCUAUACCCCAAACCAGACUUCAUGUUUUUCUUCUUAAAAUCAGGUUUGUUAUAAGACCCUUUGAAACCUUUACCAGCAAACUUCGACAUUUCAGACUUCUCAAUUUCAACCAUCUUGAAAACUUUGUCAAUUUUCUCUGAAAUCACAUUCUGAAUCGGGAAAACCACAUCCAAGAAUAGUUUGUCCGAUCCAAUCAUGAUUUUGAGUGUUUAAGAUAACUAUCAUGAAAACUUCCCUCAUUUUCAUCUUGU